rnacentral:rRNA from 1 species
AGAGACAGCAGCCGCCGCGGUAAUACGUAGGUCCCGAGCGUUGUCCGGAUUUAUUGGGCGUAAAGCGAGCGCAGGCGGUUAGAUAAGUCUGAAGUUAAAGGCUGUGGCUUAACCAUAGUACGCUUUGGAAACUGUUUAACUUGAGUGCAAGAGGGGAGAGUGGAAUUCCAUGUGUAGCGGUGAAAUGCGUAGAUAUAUGGAGGAACACCGGUGGCGAAAGCGGCUCUCUGGCUUGUAACUGACGCUGAGGCUCGAAAGCGUGGGGAGCAAACAGGAUUAGAUACCCCCGUAGUCCCUGUCUCUUAUACC